rnacentral:tRNA from 1 species
GGAAGUGGAUAGGGCACUGGUGGCCCUCCCGGACUUCAAAUCCGGUGCAAGGGGUUAAUAGCCUCUUGGGUGAGUUCGAUUCUCAUGCACUUCCGCCA